CUGCUGACAGGGACUCCGUGCUCUACUCUUAUUCCAGCACUUACAUGUUUUCUUGUGGGACAAAUUACUUUAAUAUUGCUUGUGACCUUUCUAAUUUGGCAACUAUUGUUAAAAAAAGUUCCUCCCAGACGUUCUCGUGUAUUUUCUUGUGAAGCAUCUUUGCUGAAUUAUGAAAAUAAUUUAAAAGGAAGGGGAAUCUUUAGCUCCUAUUCUAGACAACGUUUUCCUACAAAAGUUAAAAGGGACAGUGCGCCAUUUUACGAGUUAAACAGAAUGUUUCAACGUUUAUUUUUAGAAUUUU